rnacentral:misc_RNA from 1 species
CUCACACUUACGUACCUGCUGCCUUCAGUGUUUUCUUUCACACCCCUACCACCUUCCCGUUUCUCCCGCGCUCCAGUUUUCUCCUUUUGUGGGUGUGUUGAAAUACGCUUUCGACCUGUCUCUCCGCACACUCUCUCGUCCUUACCCUCUGCACUUUCCCUUUGGUUGUCCCUCUCCAGGUCUCAUGUAAUAGUUCUGUGCCCUCACAAACUUAUCCCCCACUUUUUUCGUCUACCCCCCCUCCUUUCCUUUGUGGGUGUGCUUGUGUGCGUGUGGGUGUUGCUUUUUUCGUGCUGUGUUUGACGCGUUUUUUUUUCUUUUUGUUUUCACCCUCACUUCGCCUCUGGCUCACUAGUGUGUGCUUCCUUCCUUGGUUUGUUUCUUACACCCCGAACCCCCCCUCUCCCCUUCUCUCGUCCAUUGCUUCUCCCGCACGUUACGCAGUUCGCAUUAGCUGACCUUCUCUCUGUGGGUUCAUCUGCUUGCUCCCUCUAGUCCCUUGUUUAUUUCUUGCUUACCUUUUUUGUGAUACACACAGUUUAACAAGCAAACACAAACAUAUAUAUAUAUAUAUACCAUUCUGUUUCCCUUUGUUCUCGCCCGCCCCCCUCCAUCUCUUCCCCAUAGCACUCAAGUGCGCCAUUCCGCUGCAGUCGAUUUUCACACUCCAAUGAUGCACCCGCAGCCCGCCGCGCAGUUUGUCAAUGACGACACGUUGAAGCAGAGUCGAAAUGUGUACGUCGCCAGCCUGCCACUCAGUUUUGACGACCAACAGCUUCAGGACCUCUUUUCCCCUUACGGACGUAUUGUUUCCGCACGUAUCAUGCGCGCCAAAAAGUCGCAUGCGUCGAAGGGCUACGGCUUUGUCAUGUUCCGUGAGGUUAGCAGCGCCGAAAAAGCAAUCGAAGGCCUGCACGGCCGUGUCGUGGAUGGCUCGCGGAUCCAAGUGCGUCGCGCCAACGCCGAUGCGUCCAUGACGUUCAGUAAAGUGUUGCACACACCCGUUUGCCCGCGGAGCACGCCGUCGACGCAGAGCAACAGCACCACGUCUGUUUUGCAGUACACAAUCCCAGAUGCUCCCGCGCAGCAUGUCAUGUACUCGGCAGCUCUUCCGCAGGCCGCCACCGGCCUGUACGCAGCACAGCUGUCAACCUCUCCGUAUGCGAUCGUUGCUCCAAGAGCCUAUCAAAGCCAUAAUCCGACCCCCGUAUCGAUUAAUCCGAGUUAUGGCGCCGUAAUGAAUCCCCAUGUGCUUCAGGAGCAGAACGGUGGCAUCGGUGCCACCUACUUUUCGCACGUGCAGUCACAUCAGGUGCCUGUGCAAGCUCUGCAGCAGCAGCAGCCUGUCUACGUGGUGCUUCUCCCCAACGGACAGCAUAUCGUCCAGCCUAACCAGUUUUCCAUUUAGUCACGCACGAGCUGAGUCCACGCGAGAAAAAGAAACAAAUGGGGACACUCGAAUUGCAUACCGUGUCACUGUAGAGGAGGAGGGCAGUCGCUUAAUCAUCACCCACUGAUGCGAGCUUUGAAGCGAUGACGCGAAUUCGUUGCAUGCAGGUGUGGGAAAGGACCCGUUUAUCUGCGUCGGGCUGGCUUUGUUAUUUUUCGUUUUUAGCUCCGUCUCCUCGUUCAGUGCCUCACAGUCCCGUGGCUCGGCCCUCCCUCCCCCCUCCCCAUAUCCGCACACGCGCCAGUUUUUCCGUUUACUUUUGUGUGCGUGUGGGGAGGCACCUGUAUAAACUGAGUGCCUUGCGUGGUCUCUUUUCCUUCAAAGCGGAAAGGGGCACACGGAGGGACGCCCACGGCACUCCAAAAAGUAACACAAAAUAAGGGUGUGCACCCGCCCGGUAACCUUAUAGCAGUACGAGGUUUUGGGGAUGUAUAUCUUUGCUACUGCCUCGAAGCAUGUGCUCGUCGCACAACGCAUGUGCGGAGGCAUGUACCGGGGAGCUUUACUCCUUUUCUGCGCAAUCCGCUUCGCACUUUGUGUUUCGUCGUUUCUUCUUGUUCUCAAGCAACGGUAAAUAAUGGUAGAGCAUACGCACACAGACAGAGACUCGCAUCCGUCUACAACAGCAACCGCCAUCAUCGUGACGACCGUUAUCAUCUAUGAGAGGCGGGGUAUGAAAGCAGUCGAAGGAAAAGAUAGAUGUCGACCCUGCUUUGUUUGUGCUCUUUGCGUUUGUACCCUACCUUUCUUUUCUUUAUUUUUUUUUCCGGUGCUAGCACAAGCUUUGACUCUGCCUCUCUAAUACUCUACUCAGUUGAUCAGAGGCAAACGAGCACACGUGCUCCAUCUUCUCUGCCUUUCCCUCUUCCCCCGUCAUCGUUUUUUUUUCUCCUUCUCCUUCUGUUGGGCCCCUUUGUGUGAAUAGAGAUUUAUGUGCUUACAUGAGUGUAUGUGUGUGUGUGUGUGGGUGGGUGGGCGUGUUUCGUAGCCAGAACAGCGGAAAAAGGGGGACAAACAAAGAAGCAUAUGACGUUACUAGUGAAAACUGAGACUUCUCUCUCCUCUCACUGAUUCUCUACUACUUGUAGAUGUGUGGCGAAUAGUGUGCUCGAGAGUGAGAGGACGAGGAAUGGGCCAACUCGCUUGUCUCUAAAAGAAACGAGCACAUGUGACUUAUGUCUCUCUUUCGCCGACGGAACAGACACACGCGCGCGAAAAAUGGAACUGAGAAAAUGAAACGAGAAAAUGACAAAAAAGGCAACCAACUCGAGAAUUAACAAAAGAUACGCACAUCUUUGAUUCAAAGUUCCUGUCUUGGUGUUGUUGGAUCUUUUUGUUGCUGUUUUUGAUCUCGGUCACUGCUCGCUUGCGUCUUUUUGAUCCUUACUUGCUCCCCCUUCCCUUUCUCCAUGCUCCCUUUGUUACUUCACUCCCUUGUUCUCCUACUUUGGUUUCGCCUCCACCGUCUCUUACUGCUGUUUUAUGGGUGGAUGCCUUCUCUCUCCCUCGUGCCCUUUUCUCUUCCACUCCCACUGUCCCCUUGGUUUUACGCUCUUAUUCCAGGUUGCAUCGCGUUUCUUUCACGUCUCUCCGUUCACCGUGAUGAUGAUAAGAGGGUACGCCUCCGUGCGCAGUAUCUCCGGCCCCGGUAUUCCACGUUGUGGGGAAGUCGAGCAGCAUCCCCUCCCACUCUCUUCCUGCCAAUGCCGAGCCACCUCUGGUGGUGACACUGUCAGGUACCCGCGACGUAGAGGAAGUCACAGUGAUGUGUCUCUGCUGAUGUCGGCGAGCAGAUCCUGAAUACCGGUUUGUCGGAGCGACCUGCAGCGGCGAGCACGUUUCUAUCAUUUAUAUGUUGGGCGCAGUGCCAACAUGACUGGAACGCAUCUCGCUGGCCCUCACUGCCUCCUGGUGACGGGAGCCUGAGUUUCACCCCGAGGGGUGUGCCCGAGGUGGCGGCCAGCGUGAUGGGAGGUGCUGCUGUGAGGCAACCUGGAGAGCGGAUCGCGAGUAGCGUGUGAAGCAGGGGCCGUGCUCAGGUGACAAUCGAGGCUUUGAAGCAACGCGUGCCUACGGCUGCUUCGCACCACGCGAUCGGGACUGUGACGGGGCGAGGGGAGUAGAGUGGAGCUUGACGUCUGUUUCAGCGCUGAAUGGACACGCUGAAGAAAAAGAGCUCCGGCCCUUUUCAAAUCAAAUUGCCCCUAAUGAAAAGCAAUGACAAGAGACACGCCCCCCCCCCCAAACUGACUCGGAUACGUGCGUGUAUGCGUUCAAGGCAUCCGACUUUUUCUUCACCUCGCAUUCGUGAAAAGGCUGUUUUUUCGCCCCCCCCCCCCUACCCCUCCCUCUCUCAGAUGUUGCCUCGUUUCGAUAACUGAAUGCAAACGUCAGCUCACAUUGAAGACACACCGAAAAGGGGAAAACGGAAAGAAGGGCACGACAGAUGAUUUGGUAAGCAAGCUCAUUUCGUUCUUUUUUUGGUGUGUUCUUUCCUUCCACCGUUUUCUCCCUGUGUGCUUCUCCAUGUGCGUGUGCUUUUUGUGCGUUUUGUCUGUGUCUUGUUGGUCUCUUUCGGUGUUCUUUCUCUGAGGAUGUUCACCUCUUUUGCUUUUCGGCUCUUUAAAGCAAUACGCUUUUUUUUUUGGCAAAGUUCAGGCAACGAGUUUCAUCACAAGAGGUAAGAAUUGCAGCAGUGCUUCCGAGGCUGAUGCGAGACUCUGGGGAGAUGGGGAAAAACAUGAGACAGAGGAUGAGGGCAGGCUCCGUUAUUGAGUACGAAUGGAAAGCGUGUACGAAUUAUCUUCUUCCCUAUUGACCCCCCCCCCCUUCUCCCCAGUAAGCGCUUGAUCUUAGGUUAAGCACCUCGACGCCGACCCUUCCCCUCCCCCCAAACAGCACGUUAGAAACGCCGGUGCACCGUUUUUCUCCUUCACGUUUUUGCUCUCCUACCGCAGUUAUUUGUACGGUGCGAUGCUAUUAUGCAGCUGUCUGUUUUUUUUUUCCCCUCACUCCCUCCUCCUCCCCCUCCUCCGCCGCCCGUGUUUUCUCCUUUUCGCCUCCAUCCUCUCAGUCUUUCUCUCUCUUGCAGCGCAAGUUACACAUGCACCGAAGAAAGUCGAUUAUCUGUUCCCGUACUUCUGCCCGUGUGCCUCACUUGAAUGUGGCGGAUCGAUCUCUUCAAGAGCACACAGAACAAAUGUACAUUGUGGUCGAUGAUUCUCUUCUUUCUGUGUCUGUGCUUGUGUGUGUGUGUGUGUUUGUGCCUUUUCUUCUGGUUUCUUCAUUUCCCCUACGCGGUGUGCUUGCUGUUGUUUGUGUUGUUUGCUUUUGGCUGCGGCGCACCCCAUUUCUGUCUUACGCUUUUCCUUUCGUCUUCGCGCGUGCUUUCUUUUUCUUCCGUGAACUUUUCUUUGUUGUUGUUGUGCUCUUUUGCUCUUGUGCGUGUGCGUGUGCGUGUUUCUUCUACUUUUCAUUGCUGCGUUCGUUCGCUUUUUAUGUUUGAUCCUCUUGCUUUUCUUUCUUGCCGGCUUUGUUUCUAUAAAGGAGCGUUCCUCUCUUCUUUGGUCUCCUUUUUGCGUCUUUUGUGUUGCUUCUCCUUACCUUAUUUGGCUUCGUACGUGAACCGACCUUCCUCAGCUUUUUUCCCCCUGCCACUCCUCUGCUUUUCUUGUCUCCGUGGGCUCCGGCCUUUUUUUUUUCGUGCUUAUCACACCAUCCUACUGUGGAGAUGGGCGCGCUAUUGUGCGCGCUCUCUCUUGCUCACGUGCUCCUCCUCCUCUCUCAGCUCGUGUAUGUGCAUCCGUGUUUCGUUGAUUUUCUGCCGCGCAUCUUUUUGUGUGGCUUUUUCCUUUGCGCUUCCUCUUUUCUCCCCCCCCCCCCCCUCGUGAAAGCAUCGGGGUCCCGCAAGACACAAAGGUUAACAGCAGAUCACCGAGUUGUGGUGUUGAGCCAGUGUGCAUUCUCGCAACGAGGAGUAACAGAACGUUGUCUUGCAGCACGAACGAUGGGAAGAAGAGCAUGGGAUUAAUAUGUACGAGCGGGCCAAGCAGGCGGUCGCACGCAUCGUCUGCAUCCAGAUGCUCGUGCAUGUGUCUUGCGCGAUUGCAGGCAUCGACCGCAUGCAUCACUCGGGGUGCCACGCACGCUUUAACGCCUUUGAAGCCAUGUUUGUUUUACUCGCACCCGCGUGUAUUGCCGCUCUCCCGGCCAUUCCCUUCGCAUGUGGCUUUGCCAGCUGAACUUUGUGCGCGUUGCUAUCAGUAUCACUGCCCGCACUGCCUUUUGAGCUUCUAAAGGAUGGGCGGAUGAGUCACAGGAACAGCUGCCUGAAAGGGGGCCUUCUUCCUUCGUUUCUCUUUUGCCUUGCUCCCUUCGCUGGUGUCGCUUUGCCAAAAGCUUAACUUGAAUCGUUGGCGUCGCCGCUGCGCGCGCGGACGGUGAAGAACGCCAUGUACGUGCGCUCCCCCUCCUUCUCUUUCUGUAAAGCACCCGGCCCCCACGCAAAUGCAGUGUCUUUCCACAGUUUUCAAAGGGCUUGUCGAUGAACGGUGGGUGAUGUACGCCGGUGAAGCAAGAUGGAAGUACACCCAACCACACAUCCGCGCCCGCAGCCAUACCAAUACCUACCUUCAUACACAAUCGGCGGCCUCCUCGUUCCCUCCCUUCCUGCUCCCCGCGCGUCUUCCUUUCCAGCAUUUCACUGCUUUCUCCCCUCGUGUGUAUAGGCGCGUGUUCGUAUAGGUUUGGUGACUCUGCGACUCGCUUGCCCCCACCCCUCUCCCUCACCACCCCCACUACCGCCUCUCCGUUCAUGAGUGACAGUCUCUAAUGUAUAUCCGGCUUCUGCGACUUCCACUUACGCCCGCGAACUCUUCCUCGCUUUCGCGUCUCCCUACGCUUUUUCUCUACCCCAUCCUCAUCUGUGCUGAGCGAGAAGACACGCGCAUAUACCUAUGUCUGUUUCUUCUUUCUUUGCCUGCUUUCAUGGAAUGCGGCCCCGCCUGUGUUGGCUCUCUUUCUAUGUUUUCUUUUUUCUUUUGGCGCCGUUGCGUUUGGCCUGUGCGGUGGCUGUCGAUCAAGUUGUUGCUCUGUCUCUCUCUCUCUCGCCUUUUUUCUCAUGGUAUUAAGUCUAUCGGACUUCUCCUUUCGUCCCUCCUCCCCGCCCCGUCUUACCUUCUUUUGUGUCUUUGCUAUCUCUAUCUCUGUCGGCGUAUCCAUCUUCGAUUUUGUGUCUUCGCGUCUUUCUGGUUGCUGUUUUUUUUUUAUCUCGCUCUAUCCACGCUCUCUUGCAGCCCUUGCGGCAUCGCUGUUUCAAGUAAAGGGACGCGGCGCUCUCUCCCCCUUGCACACCGUAAAGUGGGGAAGGUGGCGGCUACGGAGGGGAGAGAGAAGAGACGUGCCUCUCUUGUCUCGUUCUCCUUUUGUAUAGUUUUCGACUUCAUCUACGCUCAACCCAAUUUUGUUUUACUGCGAUUGCCUCAUCUUUGUUUCUUUUUUUUUUAGUUUUUGCAAUGAAGAGGGGCAAGAAGACGAUAUCCACCGGCACCGUCCUCACGGACAGGCGUAUGCGUGAGUCGAAUCUCCUCCGACGCUGACACGGCACCUCCCUGUAUAUACGCAGGCACUUUGUUUCAAAAAAGGGAAGCUGUGUUCAUGUUGGAACCGCGAUCGAUCAGGGGCCGUGCUUGCGCCGCGAUUUCCGUUUCUUUGAGACCUCGCCCGUCUCCCCUCAUCUCCUUUUGUUUUUACUCUUGCAUGUUUCGCAUCUGUUCAGAGAUGGGAAAUGAAAGCAAAAAUAAUAGCCACAGCACCUACAGUGUGUAUACAUGUGUUCGUAUGUGUUUGUUCGCGGCUGUUAAAAAGUAACCCUCGCUCGCAGCGUCGACCCGACGUAUAUUGGUACCUCCGCUAACUCUCCUCGCAUCUCGCCUUCCUUUUCCCUCACUUUGUCGCCCUCGCUGUGCUGAUUUCACGACUCUCUCUCUCUCGCUUCUCUCUUCUCUAUUUGGUGCCGAACCUGCAUCAAGUGUUUCCGGUCCGUACCGUUCUCUCUUUCUUUCUACCUUUGAUUCGAAAUCACGCGCCACCUCACCUGGCCUUUCUUCCGUCUCUGUCGACCUCCCCGCAAACGCACUUCGAAGUGCACAUCACUCGUGUGUGUGUGUGUGUGUGUGUGUGUGGAGGGGGUCUUUUCCUCAGCUGUAUUUUUGUAUCUGUGUGUAGUCUCGUUUAGCAGCUCGAGGGUUUUUCUUUCUGUGCCUCUUUUAGCGUCUCUGUCUGCCUUAUCGCGUCACUCGAGCCUCGUUCUCCUUCCCUCCCCCUCUCGAUGAUUGCGCGUUUUGUUUUGUGUGUGUGUGUGUUCUGCUCGCCCAAAGUUCGUCUGCCCCACCCCACACCACCCCCUUACGUCUUUCGCCCGUUUUUUCUUGCUCUGUCUUUCUGUGUUCGUCUUCUCUUCGUGUGUCUGUGUGCGUGCGUGCACUGACCCAAGGUGUAGUGAGGUAGUGAGAUGCACGUGUGUGUCCGUGCACUCUGUUGAAGCGUAUCCGACAUAUACUCCGCCAUUUGGGGGUGCGACCAAACGCACUCACGAAUGACGAAGGGCGGGUAGCUUCGGCUCUCUUUCUUAUCAUUUCCGGGGCUGAGUGGCACGCAUGCGUCUGCGCGAACUAUGCUCACACACCCCGCACUGAACGCCAAUACACACUCGCUCGCUCGCCCGCCUACCUGCUCACCUCCCUCCUCCUCCCUCUUCCCCCCCCCCCAUACACACAGGCACAGAUACCUCCAUCAGUGGCCUUUUGUUUUCAGUACACGUUGCCUUUUCCUCUUGUGCUCUCCUCAAGGUGUCGUUUUUUGUUGUCCGUCUUUCGAUAUCUUUUCGAUGUGCUCUGUUUCUUGUUUCAACUGGCGUGCGAUGCUGCUACCGUACUUGUUCCCAUCAUCACUAUGCAUGCAUUUCUAUGUGUCUGUGGCUCAGCUUAUAGUACUGCAAGCUGGCAUAUAGUUGGAUGCUCGGUGUGUGGCACACCACCGCCGCCUUUGGAGAGUACGUCUCGCUUUCUUACUUGCGUUCGACAAGCGAAAUAGCACCUACGAUGUCUUCGCGCCUGUAUGCUGGCCCGUGAGCAAAAGUAUAUAUAUAUAUAUAUAUAUAUAUGAAGUGCUAUUCACGACCAAAGUGCGAACGCCUUGCAGUAGCAGCACCACCAGUGAGUGAAGGACAAGAUGGACAUGCUGAAGGCCGUUGGCAUAGCCUCUCAAAGAGAUUCUUGAAAGCUUCAGCGCACGUGCCCAGCUCCUGUUUCCUGCCUUUCCCUUUUCGUUUCUUAAACACUCAUUGCUGGUUUUUCUGUUUCUAGUCGGAUUGUGCUGAUGACGCCUCCUUUUUGUUUUUUCUCCCGCUGUCUCUGGUGGCCUUCCUGCUUUCCCGUUGUGUUGUUGGGGCCCAUUUCCUCCUUUCAGGGUGUGGGGUGGGGGCGGCCUUCUAGCAGGAGGGCUGAUUUCUUUUGUUGCAGCCGUGGUGCCUGCGCAUGCCUAUGUCUAUGUCUACGUGUGUGUGUGUGUGUGUGUGUGGGAAGGAGGGAUAAAAACGCAAAGCAAGGACACUGGCCGGUAGAGGAGUGCCCCUUUUUAUACCUUCCUCGUCAAUACACCGCAAGGCACACCGCGCCCGCCCACGUACACAGACGCGUACGCCGAUGAAACCACCAUCGUGGAGAAAAGGAGGCACCAUGACCCAUCACCGUCCGACCAGUUAUCAUUCACUUGUUUUUCAUGCUCCUCCCUUGGGUCGGCGUGCAGCCUUCUGUGUUUUGCACAGAAAGCAGGUAUCCAGGUUCGCUCUUCUCCACCUCCUGUAAAGUGCUUCGUCGCCUUCGCGCGUGUCCUGUGUUCUCUACCCCCUUUCCUCCACCCACCCACCCACCUCCAACUCCUCUACCUCUCUGUUCUCUGUCUUUUCUUGCAUGUUUCUUUCUCUGGUACCAG